rnacentral:rRNA from 1 species
CAUGCAAGUCGAACGCAGUAGCAAUACUGAGUGGCAAACGGGUGAGUAUAAUGUGGGAAUCUGCCUUUUGGUUUGGAAUAACACGGGGAAACUUGUGCUAAUACCGAAUAAGCCUUUACAGGGAAAGUUUUAACGCCGAAAGAUGAGCCCGCACUUGAUUAGCUAGUUGGUAAGGUAAAAGCUUACCAAGGCGAUAAUCAAUAGCUGUUCUUAGAGGAAGACCAGCCACAUUGGGACUGAGACACGGCCCAGACUCCUACGGGAGGCAGCAGUGGGGAAUCUUGCACAAUGGGGGAAACCCUGAUGCAGCGAUGCCGCGUGAGUGAAGAAGGCCUUUGGGUUGUAAAACUCUUUCGUCGGGGAAGAAAAUGACUGUACCCGAAUAAGAAGGUCCGGCUAACUUCGUGCCAGCAGCCGCGGUAAUACGAAGGGACCUAGCGUAGUUCGGAAUUACUGGGCUUAAAGAGCUCGUAGGUGGUUAAAAAAGUUGAUGGUGAAAUCCCAAGGCUUAACCUUGGAACUGCCAUCAAAACUUUUUAGCUAGAGUGUGAUAGAGGUAAGUGGAAUUUCUAGUGUAGAGGUGAAAUUCGUAGAUAUUAGAAAGAACACCAAAUGCGAAGGCAACUUACUGGGUCACUACUGACA